ACCCCGUUAUAACGGAAUUUGAAAUUCUGAUGUGGCUAAUCAGGCCGCGGUGUAC
rnacentral:tRNA from 1 species